AAAUUUUUAAAAACACACGCGCAAUUUUCGCACAUGCAAUUCAUUUCGAAAUUAAUUUAUAUCCUCACCUGCGAUCAAUAAAUAUAUCGCUAUCAAAACUGCGCCCAUCUACAUAUGUGCACAAAAUUGAAAAAUUUCCACACUAUCCACGCUGCAAAAGUUUGAAUUAAGUUAUAAAUUGCUUGAUUUUCUUCUGUUCUCUUUUCUCACCUUGCAAGUUUCGUCUGCCUGCGUGCAGCCGUGCAGAAGCAGACGACAGACGCCAACUGACACUUGACAUACGAUUUGCUGUUGCUGGUUUGCUGCACAGCACAAUGCCCUCCUUCUUACCCAAACUUCUUCCUUGGUGACCUUGGCUAGACCUUGGCUACUUAUAUUUUCCGUUUUGUCGAUUCUUCGUUCUGUGUCUUUAUGCCAAAUUGACUUUUUUUGCCUCGGAAUUCGAUCUGGAUGACUCCUCUCCUCUCUUCUUCUACCCUCUCAACCCAACACAGUGACUCACUCUCUGCGCUCAACAAGUUAAAACUUGCUCUCAUUGUAUUGGACGACCGACGAUUGGCUAUGAAAGAAUGCAAAAGAAAAUUGCAAGAAGAGGAAAGUAGAAAAAUAUUUAACAUUGCUGUGUAUUAUUGUAUUAUGCGUGUGCAAAUGAAAACCAAUCAACGCGUGUCUUGACGAGAGUAUGUAGUGGCAACUGGCAGUAGCCGCGGUCGGUGCCAGGUCAGUGCUGCAGGAGAUAAUUUUGUGUUUUGUGUGCCAAAUAAUAUGACAUACAGUAUGUGACGCCCGGCUUUACCAGUGCUUUUUUUUAAUCAGUGACAAUAUAUGUGCCUAAUUAUUUUAGCCAGUGUCAUCAUCACCAACAAAAUUUACAAGGCCGCCACCGCACCAUGGUCGAUUUUGAGUUGAGCACCGUGUCGGCAGCGGCGGGCGCCAGCGUCCUUAUAUUUGUAAAACAGGGAGGACACACUGCGAACGCCAUUGAGCCCGAGUGUUUCGCUUUAGAUGGAGAAGAGAGAGAGACGCGCCCAUGAGAAUUUCAGAGGGUCCUUGCUCCUUCCAUCUGCUGGCUCGAGUAGCGGAGGGGCGGCCGCCGAGAAUGCGCGUGAAAUUUGCACGCAGGACCUACACCAACAACGGCGCGCGGCAGCGCUAUGAAUGGGCUUAAAGGUGACCUUUUACAGACACAAUAUAAUACGCGCAAGGACCAGCGCCUCCCGCCACAGUUGUUUUGCUAAACAUCAAAAACGUAGCUAGGCGCCAUCACACCUUUUGGCAUAACGCCAUUGCAAUCACCAUUGGCAGCGUUUGGAGGUUUUUAUAUUUUAAAUUUUUAGUAAAAUUUUUUUAAACUAAAAUAAAUAAAUAUUCUUUCAAAACAUAUCAAUUUUUAAUAUUAAUAAUUUAAAAUAACUUUUAAAUUGGCCAUUUACUUAUACUCAACUUUUAUGGAAAACAAUUUUCGAUGAAUUUUA